AUUGAACGCUGGCGGCAUGCCUUACACAUGCAAGUCGAACGGCAGCACGGGAGCAAUCCUGGUGGCGAGUGGCGAACGGGUGAGUAAAGUAUCGGAACGUGCCCAGUCGUGGGGGAUAACGUAGCGAACGUUACGCUAAUACCGCAUACGAUCUAUGGGUGAAAGCGGGGGAUCGCAAGACCUCGCGCGAUUGGAGCGGCAGAUACCAGAUUAGGUAGUUGGUGGGGUAAAGGAUCACCAAGCCGACGAUCUGUAGCUGGUCUGGGAGGACGACCAGCCACACUGGGACUGAGACACGGCCCAGACUCCUACGGGAGGCAGCAGUGGGGAAUUUUGGACAAUGGGCGAAAGCCUGAUCCAGCCAUGCCGCGUGCAGGAUGAAGGCCUUCGGGUUGUAAACUGCUUUUGUACGGAACGAAAAGGUUUGGCCUAAUAAGCUGAGCUCAUGACGGUACCGUAAGAAUAAGCACCGGCUAACUACGUGCCAGCAGCAGCCGCAG
rnacentral:rRNA from 1 species